rnacentral:rRNA from 1 species
GACGAACCGAGCGAACGUUAUUCGGGAUCACUGGGCUUAAAGGGCGCGUAGGCGGGCCCGAAAGUCAGGGGUGAAAGCCCACGGCUCAACCGUGGAAGUGCCUCUGAUACUUCGGGCCUCGAGGGAGGUAGGGGCGUGCGGAACUUCCGGUGGAGCGGUGAAAUGCGUAGAUAUCGGAAGGAACGUCGGUGGCGAAAGCGGCGCGCUGGACCUCUUCUGACGCUGAGGCGCGAAAGCCAGGGGAGCGAACGGG